GGCAUUGAACAGACAGAACAUAAACUUUGGAAUAAAUGUUGUGUUGGUUUUCGUAUCGGCCGCUAUUAUUGCUUCCUCCGUAGGAGCGACAACUGCAUCGUCCAGUCAUUGUCCUCUAUGUCCAGUUCACCACGUGCCAGGGUGGACAGGUCGGCAUGUGCACCACCAACGGAACAUACCGAGACGAUUGUGAAGUUAAACGAACCCACUGCUUGGACCUAACUAUUUUGUUCCUACAUCCGGGCGACUGUAGUGAAAAUCCAUUUAUAACUGGAUAAAUCGAAUAGCAUCAAAAUGCCAACAUCUACACUAUCAAGAUAUUGUAUUUCACUUGCUACGAACAUUUACAAUUCCAUGUAAACUAGACAAGUGUGUUGUAAAUGAGUUAUCUACCAGGUA